rnacentral:rRNA from 1 species
UACGUAGGGUGCAGGCGUUAAUCGGAAUUACUGGGCGUAAAGCGUGCGCAGGCGGUUUCUUAAGUCAGAUGUGAAAGCCCCGGGCUUAACCUGGGAACUGCGUUUGAAACUACAAGGCUAGAGUGUGGCAGAGGGGGGUGGAAUUCCACGUGUAGCAGUGAAAUGCGUAGAGAUGUGGAGGAACACCGAUGGCGAAGGCAGCCCCCUGGGUUAACACUGACGCUCAGGCACGAAAGCGUGGGGAGCAAACAGG